rnacentral:rRNA from 1 species
AACGAACGCUGGCGGCAUGCCUAACACAUGCAAGUCGAACGAGACCUUCGGGUCUAGUGGCGCACGGGUGCGUAACGCGUGGGAACCUGCCCUUAGGUUCGGAAUAACUCCCCGAAAGGGGUGCUAAUACCGGAUAAUGUCUUCGGACCAAAGAUUUAUCGCCUUUGGAUGGGCCCGCGUUGGAUUAGCUAGUUGGUAGGGUAAAAGCCUACCAAGGCGACGAUCCAUAGCUGGUCUGAGAGGAUGAUCAGCCACACUGGGACUGAGACACGGCCCAGACUCCCACGGGAGGCAGCGGUGGGGAAUUUUGGAAAAGGGGGGAAAGCCUGAUCCAGCAAUGCCGGGGGAGUGAUGAAGGCCUUAGGGUGGAAAAGCUCUUUUACCCGGGAUGAUAAGGGCAGUACCGGGAAAAAAAACCCCGGCUAACCCCGU